rnacentral:rRNA from 1 species
UGGGGAAUAUUGCGCAAUGGGGGAAACCCUGACGCAGCAACGCCGCGUGGGCGAAGAAGGCCUUCGGGUUGUAAAGCCCUGUCAGGUGGAACGAAAGGCGUUCGUGUGAACAGCACGAAUGUGUGACGGUACCAUCAGAGGAAGCACCGGCCAACUCCGUGCCAGCAGCCGCGGUAAUACGGAGGGUGCGAGCGUUGCUCGGGAUUACUGGGCGUAAAGCGUGCGCAGGCGGCAUGUCAAGUCAGACGUGAAAGACCGGGGCUCAACCUCGGGAGGUCGUUUGAAACUGGCAAGCUCGAGUACGGGAGAGGGGUGUGGAAUUCCCAGUGUAGGAGUGAAAUCCGUAGAUAUUGGGAGGAACACCAGUGGCGAAGGCGACACCCUGGCCCGAGACUGACGCUCAGGCACGAAAGCGUGGGGAGCAAACAGGAUUAGAUACCCUGGUAGUCCACGCUGUAAACGAUGAGUGCUGGGUGUUGUGGGUUACGACCUGCAGCG